rnacentral:rRNA from 1 species
AUGUUCUCCAACCCAUGCAAUGGCGCGGUUACCUGCCUGCUUGCUAUCUUGGAGAGCUUUGGAGAGGCUACGGGGCUGCGCGUGAACCCAUCGAAGUCCAUUGUUGAGCCCAUCCAGUGCCAAGCCCUGAACCAGGACGACAUCGUGCAUCACUUUGCCGGCCGGCAUGUGGGUUUCCCAAUAUCCUACAUGGGCCUGCCAAUUUCUCUGGGUAGAUUGAGGAAAGUGCACCUUCAGUUUAUCUUCCACCGCAUCAAGGCAAAAUUGGCAGGCUGGAAAGGGCGGCUCAUGAACAGCGCAGGCCGGCGCACACUUGUCCGCUUGGUGCAAUCUGCUAUUCCGAUCUUCAUGCUCACCUCCAUCAAGGCCUCGAGCGGUGUCUUAAAGGAAACCGACAAGAUCUGCCGUCGCAUCCUCUGGGCCCAAGAGGACGAACUAUCGGGAGGCAAAUGCAAAGUAAACUGGCGCACUGUCUGCUCUCCGCUGGAGUUUGGUGGCCUGGGCUUGUUAGACACAGCGAAAUUUGCCCGAGCUCUUCGACUCAGGUGGCUAUGGCUCUCCUGGGAUGAAGUCACCAAACCAUGGGCUGGCUUCCUUUUGCCUUGUGACGAUCAGGACCGUCAGUUGUUUGCUGCUGCAACGUCUGUCACGAUCGGCAACGGCGAGCGCGCCACCUUCUUGGAGUCCACCUGGCUGGGCCCGCUGCCGUUGUGA